GUGUUUGCUGUGGCGGCAUGUAUAUUAAAAUGGGAACCACACAAAGAAGAUCAGCCCAGCCCUUCUUCAAGGAUGACAUGCAAAUUCAUGAAGUGUUCUGUGUUUUU
rnacentral:snRNA from 1 species